GACGAACGCUGGCGGCGUGCCUAAUACAUGCAAGUAGAACGCUGAAGGAGGAGCUUGCUUCUCUGGAUGAGUUGCGAACGGGUGAGUAACGCGUAGGUAACCUGCCUGGUAGCGGGGGAUAACUAUUGGAAACGAUAGCUAAUACCGCAUAAGAGUAGAUGUUGCAUGACAUUUGCUUAAAAGGUGCAAUUGCAUCACUACCAGAUGGACCUGCGUUGUAUUAGCUAGUUGGUGGGGUAACGGCUCACCAAGGCGACGAUACAUAGCCGACCUGAGAGGGUGAUCGGCCACACUGGGACUGAGACACGGCCCAGACUCCUACGGGAGGCAGCAGUAGGGAAUCUUCGGCAAUGGACGGAAGUCUGACCGAGCAACGCCGCGUGAGUGAAGAAGGUUUUCGGAUCGUAAAGCUCUGUUGUAAGAGAAGAACGAGUGUGAGAGUGGAAAGUUCACACUGUGACGGUAUCUUACCAGAAAGGGACGGCUAACUACGUGCCAGCAGCCGCGGUAAUACGUAGGUCCCGAGCGUUGUCCGGAUUUAUUGGGCGUAAAGCGAGCGCAGGCGGUUAGAUAAGUCUGAAGUUAAAGGCUGUGGCUUAACCAUAGUACGCUUUGGAAACUGUUUAACUUGAGUGCAAGAGGGGAGAGUGGAAUUCCAUGUGUAGCGGUGAAAUGCGUAGAUAUAUGGAGGAACACCGGCGGCGAAAGCGGCUCUCUGGCUUGUAACUGACGCUGAGGCUCGAAAGCGUGGGGAGCAAACAGG
rnacentral:rRNA from 1 species